UGCGCGCCUGAGCAGCGGGAGCAGAUUCGGGCAAUUACAAUCAAGUCAGGGCACACGCCGCGGCAGAGCAACACGAGCAUGAUGAGGAUACUGAUGAGACAUGUUGAACUGCAAGAUCCCACUCGCGACGCCAGAACUCGUCAAGAGGUCUGUAUUGUUGUUUGGCACCGAGGCGUAGGACCCGCCACAGGCCAUUGUUUCUCCAGCUCAAGUGGGCCUGUCUGGUUCGCCUUGGAAGAAUGAGGGUGACAUGCGUGAGUUCCGUACUAUAAAAGGACUGCUGGUUCUAGGGAGAACAGGAGUUUAACGCUAAUGCAGAGUAAAUAAACAGUUUUCACCACC
rnacentral:lncRNA from 1 species